CCCCCCCUGAGAGGUGAUGGCUCCUUGGUGGCUGUGUUCUUGGUCCUGGCCUGGAAGGGAGAAGCUGAGUUCUGUGUUCUGCAGGAAGAAAAAGUACAGUUUACUUUAAGGUGAGGUAAAACCUUUUUGAAACAACUCUUGGUUUGUAGCUUAAGAGGCUGCUUGAUUUAUGUAGUAGUUUACAGUGCCUGGGGUGUACAGUUAAAAAGGGUUUGGAUAAGUGGCUGGAGGUGAAAUGUGCUUGUGGAGUGUGUACAAGGCUAUGCUCCAUGUAUGCUAGGGAUGUUUUACAGCAACAGUGAUGUCUGAAAUAGGCUGAGAUGGUUAGGAAGGAGGAAGGUUGCUGUUCUCUGUGACUUUCUUGCCAAAUCCUCCUGGGGAGCAAAAAAAAAAAUGGGUCUAACAGGAAAAUGAAUGGAAAUGCUUAUGAAGCCUCCUCUUUAGGAGAAGUCUGUAAUGAGGCCAACUCAGAUUUCUAGAUUAAUUUAUAUAAGAACAAAUCUCGUUGUGUGGGUAAGGUUUUACUUGUAGUACUUAAGACUGUGCCUCUCACCAAAUGUGCUGAAACAAAACAGCAGACAGACAACUUAGAAACUUCUAAACUUAAAAGUGAAAACCUAGGUGUCUCCUCUUAAGAGAGGCUUCUCACUCUUGUUCCCUUCUUGCUGAAGCAAAACUGUGGAGGAGAACUUCGAGGCUUAACUUUGUUCUUGUUUCAAUGUGUGCCCCAAAAAUACUGGUAAUUUUGCUUUGGUGGUGUGGGAAGCGGGUGAGUAUGUGUCAGUUUUAGAGAAGAAUUAUCAGCUUGCAGCAAGUUCUUGGAAAGACUGUUGCUGCUGCAGGUAGGAAUGCUCUGUUACCUGUGGAAAUGGGAUGCCUAAGAGUAUCUGCACUAAAAUAGAAUGGCUAGACUGAUGUAGCUUGAGUUUUUUCCUGGUGAGGUGGAUACCUGGCUGUCUCCAGCUUAAAACAAAAAAGCAGAAAAUCUUUGCUUACCUCAGGGAAGAAAUAAAGCACCUAGCAGUUAUUCUGUGCUUGUUUGGGAUGUCUUUCCUUGCUGCUGAUGUGAGCUUAUCUCAGCUGGAGGAAGAGGAGGAUGGUGACCGCUUCUGCCACUGGCCAUUUAGCAUGGCAUGUUCUGUAUUAAAAAAGAGAAAAGAAAAAAGAGAUUGAAGUUAAUAGCCAGUACUUUCACAGGUCAUCUACUUCAGCUGCACAGCAUGUCAGCCUUGUUUGACUUGCCAAAUGAAACCACAGUACUUUUCCACUGCUUGUGUUGUUGCAGAUGAGUUUCUGGAGAGCAGCCUUACUUGAAUUUGGUGGAGUUUCAAGUGUGAAGAAAGAAAUGCAGCUGACUUUGGAUUCUGCCUUUGCAUUAUAUGCUUGCAUAUAAUAUUCUAUUUUUAUAUAUUCAACAAUCUGCAAUUAUAAAUCACCUCUGCUUUUAAUUAGUGAAUGACCCAGUUCUGCUGUGCUUCCAGUGUGGUAGCUGGGUAACUCUGGAUAGAAAAAAGUUAAUUGACUUGCGGUACCACUUUGCUAAUGACUUCAGGCAACAGUUAAUAGAUGAACAGAAUCAUCAGGUGCUGCCUUAUGCCAGUGAAAGAAUGGAAGUUGGGAAGUUAUAAAAAUUCUACAACCACUGGAGAAAGGGAAAAAAUCUCCUGCUGUGACCUGUUCACUUUUUUCAGAGCAGAACUCUACAGGCAGAGGCGUGGGUUUACAACUUCAUUUCUUUGACACCAAAGUCUUGCAAGUAACCAUGAAGCAGAGACUCUCUGCCCUUUGUCUCUUACAUUAGCAGGUUAGGAAAGUCUUAUCCCACUCAACUUGAAGGCAUUCUCUUCCUACCAACAAACUGAGUUCUGUAUUAAAAUCUAACUCUGGUCACAUUAAAAUAGAUCACAAACCUUCAAAAGAACUUUGUUAGGCUGCCUGAUGAACAAUAGAACGCUUUGAGAGAGAGAAACCACAUUUCUGACCGCAACCAAGAAUGAACCAGGUGCUGUUGUUGCCAUGAUUGUCAGAGGAUAUUCCUUUUCUCUGGGUUUUCUCUUAUUAACUAGUACACAAGUUUGUGAAGGGUGACAUUGCUCUCAGUUUUAACACAAGAAAAGUAUGUAAUGCUGAUCUAUAAUAGCUGAUUGCUCUUACAACAUUGAGCUCUGUCUCAGUACGUUCACACACGGUAAAACAAAUAAAAUUACUUGAGUGUAGCCAGCUGCUGAGCUUCUUUCCAUAGAUUUAAAAACAAACAGGCUUCACAAAAAUGACUCAAGGAUUUUUCAUCUACUUGCCACUACUGCGUGCAGAGCCCUCUGUCCCUCUAAGCUUUAGUAGCUCUGUAUUAUUAUUACUUAGUGGUUACCCAUUAUCUCAGUGCCAGUUGAGGUAUGAAUGCCCAAAACAGGCAAAGGGUAGCAUUUGCUGUGUUGGUUUAGACACACUACACUUGUAGUAUGUAAUUGUAACUUGGAGAUGUAAUGUGGAUGCCCCAUCCCUGCAGGCAUUUCAGGCCAGGCUGGAUGUGGCUCUGGGGAGCCUGGUCUGCUGGUUGGUGUCCCUGCCCACAGCAGGGGCUGGGAAGCAGAUGAGCAUUGUGGUCCUUUGCAACCCAGGCUGUUCUAUGCAAAGUGAAUCAAAUUGUCUUAAAAAGAGAAAAGAAUGUACUCAUUGAUGUCACAUAUGAACAUCUGAGAAAAUAUCUCAAAUGACAAAGAAAAUACUAAUUCAGAGCAAAAGUCAAAAUCUGCUCCUUUUUAUUUAUUUUUUAUUUAUCCUUUAAUAAAGUUUCCCUGUGCUUUUCAGUGUUGGUUAACACCCUGCCGUUCUGUCCCAAAUGCUUGUUUUGUGACAAAUCCUUAGCCCAGCCCAAGCAGAUCAUCCUUGCCCACCCUAUUGGCCAGCUGUUCACAUACACUUGCAAUCACCCAACAGCCACAUUCACAAGUCAACACUGCAGCUGCUGCUGUGCCUUUGAAGGAAAUGAGAAGUUUCUGCUUCUCUUUUUUUCCUUCCCUCAUUCCUGGACACUUCUAGGUUGUAAGCAUGCAGGAGAAAACUAGAACUGGUUACACCUCCUAUACAACUGUAGUUUCUCAAUGAAAUAAUUAAAAAA